AAUUUUAAGACAGAAAGGAAUCUCACCCCCUUAUGCAGCCAAACAGACACAACCCACUGUAUACAUGUUUUUCAGAUAAAUAAUAAUGUUUUCAAAUAAGAGGACUUAACAUCUUUUGUUACACAUAGUUUGUCUUAACUUUAUCAUGGUAAUUGGAGAGACCCCUGUGUUGGCUUUACCCUGAGAAGAAAUAAACUUACUGCAAAUUGGAGCAACGAUGGAUACAAGUUCCUUGUGGAAACUUUUUUUUUUUUUUUUUUUUUUUUUUUUUUUUUUUUUUUUUUUUUUUUUUUUUUUUUUUUUUUUUUUUUUUUUUUUUUUUUUUUUUUUUUUUUUUUUUUUUUUUUUUUUUUUUUUUUUUUUUUUUUUUUUUUUUUUUUUUUUUUUUUUUUUUUUUUUUUUUUUUUUUUUUUUUUUUUUUUUUUUUUUUUUUUUUUUUUUUUUUUUUUUUUUUUUUUUUUUUUUUUUUUUUUUUUUUUUUUUUUUUUUUUUUUUUUUUUUUUUUUUUUUUUUUUUUUUUUUUUUUUUUUUUUUUUUUUUUUUUUUUUUUUUUUUUUUUUUUUUUUUUUUUUUUUUUUUUUUUUUUUUUUUUUUUUUUUUUUUUUUUUUUUUUUUUUUUUUUUUUUUUUUUUUUUUUUUU
rnacentral:lncRNA from 1 species